GAUGAAGAACGUAGCGAAAUGCGAUAAGUAAUGUGAAUUGCAGAAUUCAGUGAAUCAUCGAAUCUUUGAACGCACCUUGCGCUCUUUGGUAUUCCGAAGAGCAUGCCUGUUUGAGUGUCAUGAAAAUAUCAACCUUGACUUGGGUUUUGUGCUCUAGUCUCGGCUUGGAAUUGGGUGCUUGCCGCUUAUACGAGCGGCUCACCUUAAAUGUAUUAGCUGGAUCUGUCUUUGAGACUUGGUUUGACUUGGCGUAAUAAGUAUUUCGCUAAGGACAUUCUUCGGAGUGGCCUCGUUUCUAGGACGCUUGUCCGCUUUCCAAUACAAGUUCCACCUCGUGGACAUGACUUUUUAUUAUCUGGCCUCAAAUCAGGUAGGACUACCCGCUGAACUUAAGCAUAUCAAUAAGCGGAGGA
rnacentral:misc_RNA from 1 species